rnacentral:ncRNA from 1 species
UUAGAGGUUGCAAUGUCUUGAGUGCGUAUUGAAGAAUGAGUCAAAAACUAAUUAGCAGUGGCUUGGUUGAUGGAACCCACGGGAACACAUAGCGAAAGUGAAUCUUUAUAGGCUAAUUGUCAUUGCUUAUGAGCUCGAACCUAAUGAUAUAUCCAUAGCUAGGAUGAAGCUUGGAUGAAACUAAGUGGAGAUCCAAACCGAGUGAUAUUGGAGAAUUAGCGAAAGAGUUGUGGUUAUAUAUGCGUGAAAUGUGAUUCGAUUGAGCUAGUUGGUUCUAAUUGAC